GACGAACGCUGGCGGCGUGCUUAACACAUGCAAGUCGAACGGAAAGGCCCUUCGGGGUACUCGAGUGGCGCACGGGUGCGUCACACGUGGGUGAUCUGCCCUGCACUUUGGGAUAAGCCUGGGAAACUGGGUCUAAUACCGAAUAGGACCACGCGCUUCAUGGUGUGUGUUUGAAAGCUUUUGCGGUGUGGGAUGGGCCCGCGGCCUAUCAGCUUGUUGGUGGGGUAAUGGCCUACCAAGGCGACGACGGGUAGCCGGCCUGAGAGGGUGACCGGCCACACUGGGACUGAGAUACGGCCCAGACUCCUACGGGAGGCAGCAGUGGGGAAUAUUGCACAAUGGGCGCAAGCCUGAUGCAGCGACGCCGCGUGAGGGAAGACGGCCUUCGGGUUGUAAACCUCUUUCAAUAGGGACGAAGCGCAAGUGACGGUACCUAUAGAAGAAGAACCGGCCAACUACGUG
rnacentral:rRNA from 1 species